AAGCAAAGAAAGCGUAAGAUCAGAGCAAAGCCACACAGCAUUUGUCUCUAGAAGGCUUUGGAGAAUUUUUCAACCAUCUCAUGAAAUAUUUUAAAAGACUUUGCUCCUUCAUAAAUAUCCAAAUUACAGAAGCCAUGAAGGACAACAGCAGUGGCAAAGUCCRAUGCAGCUAAUGACACCAUGUCUGUACAUCACAGAAGUACUGCUCAUCACUUUUGAGAGGAGUUUCCCAUGAGGUAAUGGCAUGAGUCAGCAAGGGUGCUGCACCACACAGACACAACGAAACAGCACUUAUGUUUGCAAGAAUGGUGAAACUGUAGGGAUACAUUUCUGAAGCUGGAAGAAACUCAAGGACUAACCUGAGAAAGUUAGUUCCUUGUUGAUCCUUGCCGGACAGUGGGUGCACAAUCAAGUUUGGUCUGUGGAUAACUUGGUAGAGGUGACAUAUUUGUUCCUGGUCUGGUUGAAGCUGGUCUGAAUAAACAAAAAUGCUU